GACGUAGGGCGCAAGCGUUGUCCGGAUUUAUUGGGCGUAAAGAGCUCGUAGGCGGCCUGUCGCGUCGACUGUGAAAACUCACGGCUCAACCGUGGGACUGCAGUCGAUACGGGCAGGCUAGAGUUCGGUAGGGGAGACUGGAAUUCCUGGUGUAGCGGUGAAAUGCGCAGAUAUCAGGAGGAACACCGAUGGCGAAGGCAGGUCUCUGGGCCGAUACUGACGCUGAGGAGCGAAAGCGUGGGGAGCGAACAGG
rnacentral:rRNA from 1 species